rnacentral:rRNA from 1 species
UGGGGAAUAUUGCACAAUGGGCGAAAGCCUGAUGCAGCAACGCCGCGUGAGUGAUGAAGGUCUUCGGAUUGUAAAGCUCUGUCUUUUGGGACGAUAAUGACGGUACCAAAGGAGGAAGCCACGGCUAACUACGUGCCAGCAGCCGCGGUAAUACGUAGGUGGCGAGCGUUGUCCGGAUUUACUGGGCGUAAAGGGUGCGUAGGCGGAUGUUUAAGUGAGAUGUGAAAUACCCGGGCUUAACUUGGGUGCUGCAUUUCAAACUGGAUAUCUAGAGUGCAGGAGAGGAGAAUGGAAUUCCUAGUGUAGCGGUGAAAUGCGUAGAGAUUAGGAGGAACACCAGUGGCGAAGGCGAUUCUCUGGACUGUAACUGACGCUGAGGCACGAAAGCGUGGGUAGCAAACAGGAUUAGAUACCCUGGUAGUCCGCGCCGUAAACGAUGAGUACUAGGUGUAGGAGGUAUCGACCCCUUCUGUGCCGCAGUAAACACAUUAAGUACUCCGCCUGGGAAGUACGAUCGCAAGAUUAAAACUCUAAAGUGAAUUGAC